AUUUAGUUUUCACAUCAUUUCAGCUCAGAGAUCUGAAAACAAGUAAAUUCUGAAUAGGAGUGGAGAGAGAACACUACAAGUAGAAAAUUUCUGAAUGUAAGUCAAGACCUGUACCUGUGAAACUGGUCAUCAGAAAUGGCACAAGGAUCAUUGUCUUAGUCUAUAUUCUGCUACUACAGCAGAAUACCACAGACUGGGUAAUGUAUAAAGAAAAUUUUAUUUGGCCCACAGUUCUGAAGACUGGGAAGUCCAAGACCAAGGGGCUGCAUCUGGUGAGGGACUUCUUGCUGUGUCACACAUGACAGAAGGCAUCACAUGGUGAGAAAGAGUAUGCACACAAGAGGGAGUGAGGGGCAGAGACAGGAGGGAUGAAAUAAGGGCCAAACUUCACCUUUUUAUCAGUCACCCACAUCCAACAUAACUAGCCUACUCCCAUAAUAAUGACAUUAAUCCAUUUAUGAGGACAGAGCUCUCAUGACCAGGAUCACCUCAUAAAGGUCCCACUUCUUAGUACUGUCACAAUGGCCAUUACAUUUUAACAUGACUUUUGGAGAAGACAUUAAACCAUAGCGGUCACCACAGCUUGAUUUUGGAUGCAUGAGACAGUAUGUUGUGGGUUGCUGGGAGGACCAGAUCACUGACAGAUUAAAGUUACCAAGUUCAAGUGACAAGCUUGAAUCCUUCUGCAGUCACACAUUUAGCCCAGCAGAGGCGAGAGCAGGGCCAACUUGCUAUUCAUUCACAGGAUAAAUAAUAAUGCCACAACAUUUCACACCUGUGCUAACAAUGACCCGUCUGUGGACCUGACUGUCAGGGACUGCCCAUGCUUCACAGCCAAGGAGGGAUGGAGCCCAGCAAAGUGCACCAGGACCUGCCACUGGCCUUCAUCUUUGUCUUUUUUCCAGCGCCAUACUUUGAGAAGUGAGGCUGAAAAGGAUGGGUAUGGACUUGGAUCCGGAGGUCUGGAGGAGAAAUUGGAUUCAACAGGCUUGAGGGGCCAUCUUCCUUGGAGGUGCUGCACAGAGUCAGCCGGUGAGGCAGGUGACCAGGCUUGGAGCUCCAUGUGA
rnacentral:lncRNA from 1 species